UAAGGAAUAUUGGUCAAUGGACGCAAGUCUGAACCAGCCAUGCCGCGUGGAGGAUGAAGGUCCUCUGGAUUGUAAACUUCUUUUAUCGGAGAAGAAACCCCGACAUUCUUGUUGGGUUGACGGUACCCGAUGAAUAAGCACCGGCUAACUCCGUGCCAGCAGCCGCGGUAAUACGGAGGGUGCAAGCGUUAUCCGGAUUCACUGGGUUUAAAGGGUGCGUAGGCGGGUUGGUAAGUCAGUGGUGAAAUCUUCAAGCUUAACUUGGAAACUGCCGUUGAUACUAUCAAUCUUGAAUAUUGUGGAGGUAAGCGGAAUAUGUCAUGUAGCGGUGAAAUGCUUAGAUAUGACAUAGAACACCGAUAGCGAAGGCAGCUUGCUACACAGUAAUUGACGCUGAGGCACGAAAGCGUGGGGAUCAAACA
rnacentral:rRNA from 1 species